GAUUGGAGGCGCGGGACUUCCGGAGAGGGGCGUGGCGUAUGCAGAUAGGGAGGCGCGCAGAGGCUGCUGGUCCCACACCGGCUGGGCUUCCGCGUCCUGCGUGUGGACAGCCGAGGACUCUCGAGGUUGUUCCCGGGGUGGGCGAGGCCGGAGCGAGGGGCAUGCAGGGGCGGAGGGCGCGGAGAGGGCGAGAGGGAAGUGAGCGUGCGUGAAGAGGUGGUCGAUCGCGAGGGUGUGGGGCGAGGGGAGGCGAGUGACUCAUACUUACCUGGCAGGGGAGACACCAUGAUCACGAAGGUGGUUUUCCCAGGGCGAGGCUUAUCUAUUGCACUCCGGAUGUGCUGACCCCUGCGAUUUCCCCAAAUGUGGGAAACUCGACUGCAUAAUUUGUGGUAGUGGGGGACUGCGUUCGCGCUUUCCCCUGUAUUUCGAACUGGUGAAAAGUUAGAGAAAAAGCUGUGGACGUGGAGUUUACAGUCGAGUCUGGGCUGCUGUGCAUUACGUGUUCUACGUGUUCCACCACUACUGGCCGUGCACGGUUAAGUUCUUGCUAAACGUCGCAGUAUCUAGAAGUACUGUGCUGCAAAAAGUUCCCCCGUGUUGUUGGGUGCGCUGAACUUUUUAACGCGCUUUGCUUUGUUUCUCGGAGAGCCCACUUUCUUUUUUUUUGCCUAGAUCGUCUAAGGAGUUCGUUGUUCUGUGUGGUAGUUUCCCAGCAACGUCUGCGUUGCCUGACAGGAAAAUACAGGGAAGCUACGUCUGUGAAAAAUGUAGUGUCUGCGAAAAUACUGUUAUUUGCACCAGCAGGACUUACAGGAUAGCCGUGGAGUCACAGAAACGGAAAAAAAAGCUGUGGAGAAAAGAUGGUGACAUUUGAGGCUGAGGUCUUUCUGUAGCUGCAGAGCAAUAGACUCUUCCUGAAGGUCACCUGUCAGACUGCAGUGGCACGGCCUCCCAGGCCCACGGAGACUCCACAGACUCCAGGAAGGGAGGGGCAAGGACCACCCGCGGCGUUCUUCUCGGCCGGCACCCACACAUCCCACCCCAACCAGGCUCUGCCCGCAAGGUGAAGCCGCUCCUUCUUGCUGAAAGCCCGGCCCAUUGCCUCCUGGGUGCUCUCUGCUUGGGCCUCAGCAGCUUCCUCUUGGCCCCGCCAAUUCAGCCUUAAGGACCCAAUAAAUGUAGCCAGCUGGUCAGAAGCCACAGGCCAGUGGUUUGUGCAAGGAGGUGAAGUUGAGCGCCCCUCCAAGAUGGCAGCUCCCCACCUGCCCACCACUCCACCCUCCACCCUUCUGCUCCCUGCCAUCAGCCCCCAUUGCCCCUGGCUCUCAGGGCUCUCUGAGCUCUGCCUGUGCUUUUGCUGUCCAUCUUCCUUUCUCUCUCUUUCUCCCGCCCCACCCCCUUUCUAUCUAUCUAUCUAUCUAUCUAUCUAUCUAUCAUCUUAUCUAUCUAUCUAUCUAUCUACCUAUCAUCUAUCAUCUAUCUAUAUGCAUCAGAUGUAGCAGAAGAAUGGGUGCGGGCGUUUUCCCACCCUUGUACAGAGUGUGAGCGAUCUUUGCUCUUUCGGCGGGAACUCAACCCCUCCAGCGGCUACCAGAAUAGGUGCGAAGGCAUAUGAAAGCUGAGGUUUCCAGGGGGCCACACCAUCCCCCCUCCCCCGCCCUGUCCUCAGACUGACAGGACACCUGGAAGGUUCUCAUCGGCACUGUCAAGGCCCACUGAGAGCCCUGCUGCGUUUUGCUCAGCUGUCGGCUUCCGCGCAGGUACACAAUUGGCAGCGUCUUGGAGGGUGGCAGAAUGUGGCUUGGAAGAUCUCGGGGUGGCAGUUCUGCCCCACAAAUAGAUUAAGACGGUUGGGAAGGUUCUCUGUCUCCCUGGGUCUGUACGUGUAUAGACCAUGGGAAAGACAGGGAAGGAGAGAGAGAGAGGUUGGGAGAUUGAAAGGCUGUGACUGGGAGAGACAGAGACAGUGACCUUCCUUUGGGGGGCAGAGCUGGGGACUGAGCCCGAGAGUGAGAGGGGGUUUCCAGGAAGGGUGCCGUGGUUGUCCCUGACCGUGUGAUGGCCUGUGUGCUUGUCGGCCUCCAGGGCUUUUGGUGGGCAGCUCCUGCGUGCCCACCUGUUGGGCAGGGAUGUGCGCGUGUCGAGCAGAGCGGGGGCGGUGGGUGAAUAAAAGUGGAGAGGGCGCGGGCCGCGGUGGGGCCGGCGGGGCUGCGCGCUAAGGCGGGAGCAACCGGGCUGCGGGCGGGCGGAAGGCGCAGGCGUGUUCCCUGGCCACGGCCCCCACGUGGCUGUGCGGGCGUCCCCCAAAGGCUUUCCCGCCUCUGGCCGGGGAGAGAGGAUGCUGCGCUGCCUCAGGGCCUUGGGCGGGGCUUGGCCCCGGGGGGCGGGGGGUGCCCUUCACGAGGGCGCAAAAGCGACGGGCACCUCCUUCGAGCCGGAAUCGAACCAGCGACCUAAGGAUGUCCACACGUGUCGGGUCUACAGUCCUCCGCUCUACCAGCUGAGCUAUCGAAGGGUGCGCGCCGCCAGGCCCGGGCCCUUAACUUUUUCUGGAAAUGCCGGAGCACGGCACUGGGAC